UUAUCUUGUCCAGGUCGCAGUUGUAAAUGAGAAAUUGUUCUCAACUGGCCUACCUGGUUAAAUAAAGGUGAAAUAGUGGCAGGGGAGUCUGGGCCUCCCUCCGGUAUGCUGUCUGCCUAUGUGGAGCGGACACGGUCAGUGAGAACAACAGACCAGCUCUUUGUCUCACUGGAUUGUGGACACGAUUACGACAGCAUACUGCCUGACCGGCAGGCCAGUGCUGGGAUCUGUGGUGGCACAUUCAACACAAGGUGUGGCUGUGUCCUGGGCUCUACUGAGAGGAGUGCCUGUCCACAAUGUAGAAAACAGGUUAGGAUCAGACACAUCAACAGGUUGUUCUUUGACAUUCAUGGUGAAGAAGAGGGAUCCUCUGCUGACCCAGAGAGUUUGCAGAAUGAGCUCAAUGGAAUGAAAGCUGUUUUAAGUACCAAAGAGACUCGAUGGACAGACUGAAGAUAGUAGAGGGCUUGAAGGAGGCUGUGAACAGGCAGAAGAAAGACCUGGACAUUGUGAGGAAGGAGAUUGAAGAGAACGAGAUGCUCAGCUCACAGGGAUGAAAUACCUGGAGAACCAGCAAUGUGAGACCCAGGCUGCCAAGGAGGAGGCCCGAUGACUCCGGACCAAAAUGAAAACACAUGAGAGUCUGGAUGUGGUGUUGCAGGGUCAGAGAACUGAGGAAUCCAUGAUCACUGACAUGGGUGUUGGCCAGGCUGCAUGUGGAGCAGCUUUCCAUCUACUGCAUUUCUCUCAAGAAAGAGUAUGACAAGCUAAAAGGGAGCCUCAGAUCUUCAAACUAAAUGUGUGAAAAGCUCAAAAGGGAGGUGUUUGUUUCAAACAUCAAGGUAAUGCAUGUAAACAAAACGCAUGAAUUGACAUUUUUCUGGGAUAAUGUCGGUUGUGUCUCUACUUCCGACUAACCGUCUCUCAUAUCUCUGUAGUUGCAUAAAGCCACAAUGGAGUUGAACAUGACCAAGGAUGACAUGAAAGCUGUCCAAAAUGACUUGACCAACGCAGACAGAGAUUACCGUUAGAAGCCCCUCUUCUUGAAAUUAUAAGCACUAUAUAAUUUGCAAAGCUUUGUUUCAUUUGUAUAAUAAAAAUACAAAUUUGGUUUACUACUCACUACUUUGUCUUUUUAAUAUUAUGUUAGUCAGAAGAAAAAAAGUUAUAAUUGUUCAAAAGACCCUGAGCACACUAACCCACACUAACGAAGCUUUGAGCCGACUAGUCUUCGAGAGGUUUGUCACUUCACCAAUCGAUUCUCUACACAACUCGUUACUUAGGAUACAGUGCAUUCGGAAAGUAUUCAGACCGCUUGACUUUUUACAAAAAAAAGAUGUUACAGC